rnacentral:misc_RNA from 1 species
GAUGAAGAACGCAGCGAAAUGCGAUACGUAAUGUGAAUUGCAGAAUUCAGUGAAUCAUCGAGUCUUUGAACGCACAUUGCGCCCCCUGGUAUUCCGGGGGCAUGCCUGUCCGAGCGUCAUUGCUGCCCUCAAGCACGGCUUGUGUGUUGGGCCUCCGUCCUCCUCCCGGGGGACGGGCCCGAAAGGCAGCGGCGGCACCGCGUCCGGUCCUCGAGCGUAUGGGGCUUCGUCACCCGCUCUUGUAGGCCCGGCCGGCGCUUGCCGACACAUCAAUCUUUUUUCCAGGUUGACCUCGGAUCAGGUAGGGAUACCCGCUGAACUUAAGCAUAUCAAUAAGCGGAGGA